rnacentral:rRNA from 1 species
UACGGAGGAUCCGAGCGUUAUCCGGAUUUAUUGGGUUUAAAGGGUGCGUAGGCGGCCUUUUAAGUCAGCGGUGAAAGUCUGUGGCUCAACCAUAGAAUUGCCGUUGAAACUGAGGGGCUUGAGUAUGUUUGAGGCAGGCGGAAUGCGUGGUGUAGCGGUGAAAUGCAUAGAUAUCAGGAGGAACACCGGCGGCGAAGGCGGCCUGCUGGACCGCGACUGACGUUGAGGCUCGAAAGCGUGGGGAGCGAACAGG